rnacentral:lncRNA from 1 species
CAUGGGAAAAUAUAUAUGUAACCAAGAAAAAGAAAAAUAUAUAAAUAAAUGUAAAUAAAGUGGAUUUUCUUAAUAAAAAAAUUUCUUUUGGCAUUUUCCUGUUCUUGUCUAUUAACUUGUGAGAUUUUGUUGAAAAAUAUAGUUUCUAAAAAUUUUUGACAGCAAGAACUGCAUUCCUUCUUUUACUGAAAAGUAUUUCAUUUUAUACCAAAAAAAAGAAAAGUAUUUCAUUUGGACUUUAAUGGAUUCUUAUACUAUUUUCUUGAGGUUAGUGCAUAUACUUAUUAAUUUUAGUUGACCCACAUGGUAUAUUUAUACAUAAGACAAGUCAAUGUCC